UGGGGAAUAUUGCACAAUGGGCGAAAGCCUGAUGCAGCAACGCCGCGUGAGCGAUGAAGGCCUUCGGGUCGUAAAGCUCUGUCCUCAAGGAAGAUAAUGACGGUACUUGAGGAGGAAGCCCCGGCUAACUACGUGCCAGCAGCCGCGGUAAUACGUAGGGGGCUAGCGUUAUCCGGAAUUACUGGGCGUAAAGGGUGCGUAGGUGGUUUCUUAAGUCAGAGGUGAAAGGCUACGGCUCAACCGUAGUAAGCCUUUGAAACUGAGAAACUUGAGUGCAGGAGAGGAGAGUAGAAUUCCUAGUGUAGCGGUGAAAUGCGUAGAUAUUAGGAGGAAUACCAGUUGCGAAGGCGGCUCUCUGGACUGUAACUGACACUGAGGCACGAAA
rnacentral:rRNA from 1 species